AUCGCAGGUCGCCUUAUCGCUCUCAAUUUCAGAUUGAGGGAGGAAAGUCCGGGCACCACAGGGAAGCAUAACGGCUAACAGCCGUCACUCCGCAAAUUGCGGAGGCGGACAAGUGCAACAGAAAGAAUGUACAGGUCAUGCUGUAGUGAAAUCAGGUAAACUCUAUGCGGUGAAAUGCCAAGUAAACCUGCGUUUGAGGAUUUCCCGUCCGAUGCAGGAGGGUCGGCAGAUAGAACGUCUUUGGUAACAAAGCGUCCAGAUAAAUGAUAAGGGAUUGAGAAAUUUCUCAAUUACAGAACCCGGCUUACAGACCUGCUUUUUUU
rnacentral:RNase_P_RNA from 1 species